CACGUAGGGCGCAAGCGUUGUCCGGAAUUAUUGGGCGUAAAGAGCUCGUAGGUGGUUUGUUACGUCUGCUGUGAAAUCCUAGGGCUUAACCCCUGGGCUUGCAGUGGAUACGGGCAGACUAGAGGUAGGUAGGGGAGAAUGGAAUUCCUGGUGUAGCGGUGAAAUGCGCAGAUAUCAGGAGGAACACCGGUGGCGAAGGCGGUUCUCUGGGCCUUACCUGACACUGAGGAGCGAAAGCGUGGGGAGCGAACAGG
rnacentral:rRNA from 1 species